rnacentral:rRNA from 1 species
GACAGAGGAUGCAAGCGUUAUCCGGAAUGAUUGGGCGUAAAGCGUCCGCAGGUGGCUAUGUAAGUCUGCUGUUAAAGAGUCUAGCUCAACUAGAUAAGAGCAGUGGAAACUACAAGGCUAGAGUACGUUCGGGGCAGAGGGAAUUCCUGGUGUAGCGGUGAAAUGCGUAGAGAUCAGGAAGAACACCAGUGGCGAAGGCGCUCUGCUAGGCCGUAACUGACGCUGAGGAGCGAAAGCGUGGGGAGCGAACAGG